rnacentral:misc_RNA from 1 species
AGACAGCCCAGAUAGCUGAGGUGUGUGCCCAGGACAGCGUACUUGAAAUUUCAUUGGAAAUAAGUUCAAAUGGAAGUCGUUGGUAUUUUAAGAUUGUAUCCGGCGAUUAGCAUGGUGAUAUAUGAAUCCUGGCCACCAUCUGUUGCAAAAUCAGAUCAACAACGCGUUACAGAACGUGUCGAUACUUGGAUGUAAUAGUGCCAGAUACUUGACGCGGCCACUACAGAAAGACGAUAACACACAUACACGACAACAUUCACAGAUGAUGAAGAUCCUACACCUCGUCAUACUCCUGUCAAUUACUGUCCUCGUCUUCAUCAUCUACUUGUCUACCAGUUUGCUGAGCUCGCGGAGACAGAUGCUGGACGACGUCAAUAUUGAAAAUCUGCUGCAAAUCCUUAAGGUGAAGGAAUCGAAGCCCGAACUGACAGCUGUAGCGAGAACAACGCCAGCCGACUACGUGGCCCGGAAACUGUUCGAGCAGGUUCGCGUCCUCUGUUGGGUGAUGACGACACCAAAGAACCUAGAGCCGCGCGUCAAAUACGUCUUGAGGACGUGGGGACGACGUUGUAACAAACUCGUCAUCAUCAGCUCCAAGGCCAACGCCACGUACGGCGCGGUCGCAAUCAACGUCACGGAAGGCAGAGACCAACUGACGCGGAAAACCCUUGGCGGCUUCCACUACGUGUACAAACACCACUUCGACGAUGCUGAUUGGUUCCUGAAAACUGACGACGACACCUACGUCAUAAUGGAGAAUCUCAGAUACAUGCUUUCGGAGCAGGAUCCGAAGGAGCCGGUGUAUUUCGGUCACCAUUUCAACUCGAUCGGAACGUUCCCGUAUUCCAGCGGCGGAUCCGGGUUUGUGGUAAGCAAAGAGGCGCUCAGACGCUUCGGCAGGGAGGCGAAUAGUUCUAAAGUUUGUCGGCAGACCGGUUCGGCCGGGGAUGAAGCUUUCGGGCACUGUAUGGGAAAACUCGGCGUCAAGCUGAAGAACUCCACUGAUAAGUUUGGUGGAACUAGGUUCCACUGUAUCAGUCCACACGAUUUUGUGACGGGACGAUUUCCGGACUGGUUGUACAAGUAUGACGCAAAUGGGUUGAAGAAGGGCGUGGACAGCAUCAGUGACUAUGCUAUUUCUUUUCAUUACGUGGCUGGAAAUCAAAUGGACGUUUUGGAAUAUUUGAUAUAUCACGCUAAACCAUAUGGCAUAAAACACGUCUUCCAAGACCUCAAUCAACAUUAACUGCUAAAUACAAUUAACCAGAGGGAUAUCCUUGUGGGCUUUUGUUUCUUGUAGUGUGUGUGUGUGUGUGUGUGUGUGUGUGUGUGUGUGUGUGCGUGUGUGUGUGCGUAGGGGAUAUUGAUUGUUAGCAGAAUAGAACAGAAAGAAAGUUUAUUACACUCAAUGCCAUCUGAGGAAUUUGAGGAAUACAAAUAUACAUAUAUAAUAUAACAGCAUCAAGAUGACAGGGUUUGAAUUCUUUUUUCAUAAACUGUAAAUAAUGAAAGUCUUAGUAGAAACAGAAAUGUUUGUUAAUAAUAGUUAUAAAUCUACACAAGUUUAUAAGGGUACUUAUAUUUUUACAAAUUAAAAGCUACUUAAAUGUGUUUACAUUUGAUCUUGUAAAAUAAUAUCUGUGAAUAUAUAUUACAUCUAUCUUCUGUAAAUUUUGUACAUAUAAAUAAGUAGUGAAAAGCACUACCAACAUCAUCAGCAGUACAAUAGAUACAUGUCCUGUUUUCAUAUAAAAUAUUGGUCCAUCUCCCUGUUUCAAAAGGUAAACGUGGUUAGCUAUACGGAAUCCAACAAAAUGUAUUACACAGUUUUAUCGAGUAUAUUGGGAUAUGUUUCAAACACUAAGUUCUCUUUAAAUAGUCUGUAACUUAAACCUUUAUUGGAUUCUGAAAUGUCACUUUGCCAAUUCUGUAAAAACAAACUGGUCUGAGAGUCUUUGUUUGACUAAUGUCUUUAACCUUGUUACUGGGCUAAACAUUUGCUUGUCACAGAUAUUAUUUAGGCCAAAGUUAUAAAUAUAUCUCUAACACUGAUAAUCCAUUUAUGGUUUGUUCCACGUUGUAUAUAGUCAUGAAAUAAUACUUUGUAGAUCUGUACUGAUAGCUUUGGACAUGUGUCUGUCAUAAGACGAAUCCCAAAACACACAAUACGUAUGGAUAUUAUAAGCAGUCGUGGUUUUCUUCCAAACUCUCCAUAUAGCAUAUAUACAGGUUGUGAUGGAUAUUAUAAGCAGUCGUGGUUUACUUCCAAACUCUCCAUAUAGCAUAUAUACAGGUGUGCUUUUUCUUGCAUUUGCUAAAUAUCGUGAAAACUGGAUAUGUACACUUUCUAAUAUAUUGAUAUUUUCACAUCCCCAGAUUUCACAACCAUAGACUAAUAUAGGAACAACAAUUGCAUCAAAUAUUUUUAAACGAUAUUCAAUUGAAAAACAAUAUUCCUUUGAUUUUUAUAAGAUAUAAAACAUGACUUUUUGAGCCAGUUGUGCUAUGUGGGGGUUUUUUGUUUUUUUGCAUAAAUUGAUUUUAUUGGGGGGGGUUUUCGAACCAUAUUCCCAAGUAUUUGUGUUCAUUUACAUUCUCAAUCUCAAAAUUGUCUCAAUAGAAAACUUUCUUGUCGUCUUUUUUCGAAUCUCCAAAUAUGAUAAUCUUUGUUUUUGACACGUUUACUGUUAAUUUCCAUGUCUUACAAUACUUGUCGUAGGUAUUUAUAAUAUGUGAUAUAUCAUCUUCGUUUCUAACCAGGAGGGCGGUGUCAUCAACAUAUACCCUAAUAAAAAUCGUUAGACCUAUGUCAAGCUAUAUAUCAAAAUCAAAGGUAUUAAUCAUAAUACCGUUACACUGUCGUGACUUUAAAUAGUCCUCCAAAUCAUUUAAAAACAACGAGAAUAAAAUAGGGGAUACAGUUUCCCCUUUCCUCACGCCUAUGUUGCACAUAAACUAUGUUGAUAGUUCACCGUCCUUCUGAUACAUGAUUUAGACCAUAGUCCUAUUCUUCAAAUGGUAUCAAUAGCUUUUUUGAGAUCGAUAAAAGCACAGUAUAAUUUCCCUUGUUUUCUCUUUAACAUGAGGGCGGUGUCGUCAGCAUAUAACCUAAUAAGACCGGCCUCGGUGGCGUCGUGGUUAGGCCAUCGGUCAACAGGCUGGUAGGUACUGGGUUCGGAUCCCAGUCGAGCCAUGGGAUUUUUAAUCCAAAUACCGACUCCAAACCCUGAGUGAGUGCU